rnacentral:rRNA from 1 species
AAUCCCUUCGGGGUGCGGGGUUCACCGGCUGCGCGGGACCCGGACGGGUAGUAGUCAAGCGACGGGGUGACACAGGAAGGUAGCCGUACCAGUCAGUGGUAAUACUGGGGUAAACCUGUAGGGAGAACCCUAGGUAAAUCCGGGUUUCACAUAUCCUGAGAGGUGAUGCAUAGCCGAUUGAGGCGAAUUCGGUGAUCCUAUGCUGUCAAGAAAAGCCUCUAGCGAGCGCACACACGGCCCGUACCCCAAACCAAC